CAGUCGCCGCGGGAAUACGUAGGGCGCAAGCGUUGUCCGGAAUUAUUGGGCGUAAAGAGCUCGUAGGCGGUCUGUCGCGUCUGGUGUGAAAUCCCGAGGCUCAACCUCGGGCUUGCAUCGGGUACGGGCAGACUAGAGUGCGGUAGGGGAGACUGGAAUUCCUGGUGUAGCGGUGGAAUGCGCAGAUAUCAGGAGGAACACCGAUGGCGAAGGCAGGUCUCUGGGCCGCAACUGACGCUGAGGAGCGAAAGCAUGGGGAGCGAACAGGAUUAGAUACCCCUGUAGUCCCUGUCUCUUAUAC
rnacentral:rRNA from 1 species